ACUGAACAUUGAGCCUUGAUGUGUAGGAUAGGUGGGAGGCUUUGAAGUGUGGACGCCAGUCUGCAUGGAGCCGGCCUUGAAAUACCACCCUUUAAUGUUUGAUGUUCUAACGUGGACCCGUGAUCCGGGUUGCGGACAGUGUCUGGUGGGUAGUUUGACUGGGGCGGUCUCCUCCUAAAGAGUAACGGAGGAGCACGAAGGUUGGCUAAUCCUGGUCGGACAUCAGGAGGUUAGUGCAAUGGCAUAAGCCAGCUUGACUGCGAGCGUGACGGCGCGAGCAGGUGCGAAAGCAGGUCAUAGUGAUCCGGUGGUUCUGAAUGGAAGGGCCAUCGCUCAACGGAUAAAAGGUACUCCGGGGAUAACAGGCUGAUACCGCCCAAGAGUUCAUAUCGACGGCGGUGUUUGGCACCUCGAUGUCGGCUCAUCACAUCCUGGGGCUGAAGUAGGUCCCAAGGGUAUGGCUGUUCGCCAUUUAAAGUGGUACGCGAGCUGGGUUUAGAACGUCGUGAGACAGUUCGGUCCCUAUCUGCCGUGGGCGCUGGAGAACUGAGGGGGGCUGCUCCUAGUACGAGAGGACCGGAGUGGACGCAUCACUGGUGUUCGGGUUGUCAUGCCAAUGGCACUGCCCGGUAGCUAAAUGCGGAAGAGAUAAGUGCUGAAAGCAUCUAAGCACGAAACUUGCCCCGAGAUGAGUUCUCCCUGAGACUUAGAGUCUCCU
rnacentral:rRNA from 1 species